rnacentral:ncRNA from 1 species
ACAGUACAACCUGAUCAGGCCAUCAACAUACGUGUUUUUGGAGCCGGGCCGCUACAGCGGCAGCAGAUUUGAUUUUUCGCAUCUGUGGGACAGAA